rfam:Pseudorhodoferax sp. Leaf274 contig_9, whole genome shotgun sequence.
UCGCAUCCGCCAACCGGUUCAGCCGUGCCGCGGAAGGUUAAUUCACCAGCUAAUGUUCCCCCAAGGGGAGCGGAGGUCAGCG